ACUGCACAGCAUCCACCAGAGGGAGUCUCUCUCUGUCAGACUUCAGCAGAGUUUAUCAGUCCUCUUUAUACUCGCUGUAGCUCAGAGUUUCUCAACCUGCAGAUAUGAUGCAUCUGAUUAUCUCAGUGUUGCUGGCUGCUAUGAGUCUUGAAUGCAGAGCCCAAAGAGACAACGUGCUGCAACCUGAAGCAGAAAAGACUGCUACUAAAGGAGAGGCAGUAACGCUUGGCUGUCACUAUAACACCACUUCAUCAAAUGACUAUCUCUUCUGGUACAAACAGCUCGGAGACAACAGCCCCACAUUCAUCCUGAGCCGCUUUAAGAUCGGCACGGGGAAAACAGAGGACGAGGACAGAUUCUCAUCCACAUUGGAUUCAAGCUUAAGAUCCGUUCCUCUGAAGAUCCAGAAGCUUCAGCUGUCUGACUCUGCUGUGUACUACUGUGCUCUGCAGCUCCACCAGGUGCCAGACUCCUGA